GGCACACUCCUUAGAUCCAUCUCUGAUCUAUAAGAGAUGUUUGAGUCAUUGGUGUGCUAUAUUACGAUACCUUUUUUUUGGUUUUUUCACAAACAGGUUUAUAAUUCAGCAAUUGGCCUGAUUUUAUAUGAAUCGCUGUUUGUAUGACCAACGAAAAGACAAA